rnacentral:misc_RNA from 1 species
GUCUGCUAAGACAUAUUUAAGAUGUUAUCAAGUAGCUUCAUCUUUCACACAAUAGCGUGGAAUGGACCGAUUACACACGCUAAACAGUAAUCAACUUGAGCACUAAUAGAGAAUAAAGCCCAGUCAAUAUUCGGAUUCUAGAUAAAUAGCGUUAUCAAACUAUAACACUUCCAACAGCUGCCAGCUUUGUUUGAAUUCCCCAGAAUAUCAUUGUUUAAGCCCCAGUAACUCCCACUUGACAAGGAUUAAAUUUG